AGUGAACGCUGGCGGUAGGCCUAACACAUGCAAGUCGAACGGCAGCACAUUAAGAGCUUGCUCUUACGGGUGGCGAGUGGCGGACGGGUGAGGAAUACAUCGGAAUCUACUUUUUCGUGGGUUAUAACGUAGGGAAACUUACGCUAAUACCGCAUACGACCUACGGGUGAAAGCAGUGGAUCUUCGUACCUUGCUCGAUUGAAUGAUCCGAUGUCGGAUUAGCUAGUUGGCGGGGUAAAGGCCCACCAAGGCGACGAUCCGUAGCUGGUCUGAGAGGAGGAUAAGCCACACUGGAACUGAGACACGGUCCAGACUCCUACGGGAGGCAGCAGUGGGGAAUAUUGGAAAAUGGGCGCAAGCCUGAUCCAGCAAUACCGCGUGGGUGAAGAAGGCAUUCGGGUUGUAAAGCACUUUUGUUGGGAAAGAAAAGCAGCAGGUUAAUAACCAGAUGUUCUGACGGUACCCAAAGAAUAAGCACCGGCUAACUUCGUG
rnacentral:rRNA from 1 species